UUAAGUUCAGCGGGUAUUCCUACCUGAUCCGAGGUCAACCUGAAAAAAUUGUGGUUAAGGCCGAGCCGGAGACCGCCACGGUGCGUGCUGAAGAAGCUCGCUGCACCCGGGGUCAACAGACUCCGCCACUGCAUUUCCGGCCCACCGACACGCGGUGAGGCCCAAAGUCAAGCCGGGCUUGAGGGUUGAUAAUGACGCUC
rnacentral:misc_RNA from 1 species